rnacentral:tRNA from 2 species
UAGAUUGAAGCCAGUUGUUUAGGGUAUUUAGCUGUUAACUAAAAAUUCGUGGGGUGAAAGCCCACCAAUCUAG